rnacentral:rRNA from 1 species
GGACUACCGGGGUAUCUAAUCCUGUUUGCUCCCCACGCUUUCGCACCUCAGCGUCAGUAAUGGACCAGUAAGCCGCCUUCGCCACUGGUGUUCCUCCGAAUAUCUACGAAUUUCACCUCUACACUCGGAAUUCCACUUACCUCUUCCAUACUCCAGACUUCCAGUAUCAAAGGCAGUUCCGAGGUUGAGCCCCGGGAUUUCACCCCUGACUUAAAAGUCCGCCUACGUGCGCUUUACGCCCAGUAAAUCCGAACAACGCUAGCCCCCUUCGUAUUACCGCGGCGGCUGGCAC